rnacentral:rRNA from 1 species
AUUGAACGCUGGCGGCAGGCCUAACACAUGCAAGUCGAGCGGCAGCGGGAAAGUAGCUUGCUACUUUUGCCGGCGAGCGGCGGACGGGUGAGUAAUGCCUGGGGAUCUGCCCAGUCGAGGGGGAUAACUACUGGAAACGGUAGCUAAUACCGCAUACGCCCUACGGGGGAAAGCAGGGGACCUUCGGGCCUUGCGCGAUUGGAUGAACCCAGGUGGGAUUAGCUAGUUGGUGAGGUAAUGGCUCACCAAGGCGACGAUCCCUAGCUGGUCUGAGAGGAUGAUCAGCCACACUGGAACUGAGACACGGUCCAGACUCCUACGGGAGGCAGCAGAGGGGAAUAUUGCACAAUGGGGGAAACCCUGAUGCAGCCAUGCCGCGUGUGUGAAGAAGGCCUUCGGGUUGUAAAGCACUUUCAGCGAGGAGGAAAGGUUGGUAGCUAAUAACUGCCAGCUGUGACGUUACUCGCAGAAGAAGCACCGGCUAACUCCGUGCCAGCAGCCGCCGUAA